rnacentral:misc_RNA from 1 species
GAAAUGCGAUAAGUAGUGUGAAUUGCAGAAUUCAGUGAAUCAUCGAAUCUUUGAACGCACAUUGCGCCCCUUGGUAUUCCAUGGGGCAUGCCUGUUCGAGCGUCAUUUGUACCCUCAAGCUCUGCUUGGUGUUGGGUGUUUGUCCCGCCUCCGCGCGUGGACUCGCCCCAAAGUGAUUGGCAGCCGGCGUACUGGUCCCGGAGCGCAGCACAUGUCGCGCAAACGAGUGCCUUGGUACGGCGGCGUCCAUAAGCCCCUCUCUCACGCUCUUGACCUCGGAUCAGGUAGGGAUACCCGCUGAACUUAAGC